rnacentral:snRNA from 1 species
AGCUUUGCGCAGUGGCAGCAUCAUAGCCAAUGAGGUUUAUCCAAGGCGCGAUUAUUGCUAAUUGAAAAAUGAUCAAUGUGGC